UACGUAGGGGGCAAGCGUUAUCCGGAUUUAUUGGGCGUAAAGAGCUCGUAGGCGGCCGUUCGCGUCGGAUGUGAAAGCUCAGGGCUCAACCCUGAGACGCCAUUCGAUACGGGACGGCUAGAGGUAGGUAGGGGAAAGUGGAAUUCCUGGUGUAGCGGUGAAAUGCGCAGAUAUCAGGAGGAACACCGGUGGCGAAGGCGGGUCUCUGGGCCGAUACUGACGCUGAGGAGCGAAAGCGUGGGGAGCGAACAGG
rnacentral:rRNA from 1 species